rnacentral:rRNA from 1 species
GGGCCCGCACAAGCGGUGGAGUAUGUGGUUUAAUUCGAUGCAACGCGAAGAACCUUACCAGGGUUUGACAUCCUGCGAAUCUCUUGGAAACGAGAGAGUGCCUUCGGGAACGCAGUGACAGGUGGUGCAUGGCUGUCGUCAGCUCGUGUCGUGAGAUGUUGGGUUAAGUCCCGCAACGAGCGCAACCCACGUCUUUAGUUGCCAGCAUUUAGUUGGGCACUCUAGAGAGACCGCCGGUGAUAAACCCGGAGGAAGGUGGGGACGACGUCAAGUCAUCAUGGCCCUUACGAGUAGGGCUACACACGUGCUACAAUGGCGCAUACAGAGGGUUGCAAACCCGCAAGGGGAG